GCCAGGUAGGUGGAUCUCUGAGAGUUCAAGGCUAGCCCGGUCUACAUAGUUUCGGGACAGACAGAACUACAUAGUUAGACCCAGUAAGCUAUACAACAUAAUACUGAUCUUGCUUCCUCUUGAGUUAUGCUUAAUUGGAAAACAGAAUUGAUUCUUGAAGCACAUGUGUGCAGAGGCUGGAGAUAGCUCAGGGAUACGAGCACCCCCUGCUCUGGCAGCCACAUGGCAACUUACAACCAUCUGUAACUACAGAUCCAGGGAAGCCGAUGCCACCUUCUUGCCUAUUUACGUGGUACACAACAUGGAGGCAAAACUCAUAUAGGAUGGACUUAGUGACUUGCUAAUCAAUGGAAUGUGGCAGAAGUGAUGCUUGGUGUUUCUGAGAAUGAACCAGAAAAGUCCUUUUUUGGUUUCUCUCUGCUCUGCUUAUGCUUGCCUCCUGGAGUCUGAAUCGCUGGGCAGCACAUCGGAGAAUGGAGAAGGUCAUACUCCAGGGAAGCCCUGGAUAACUACACGGAGAGGAGCAUGUGAACAUCUGCCCCCAUGCAGGGGACGGGCU
rnacentral:lncRNA from 1 species